rnacentral:misc_RNA from 1 species
AACGCACAUUGCGCCCUGUGGUAUUCCGCAGGGCAUGCCUGUUCGAGCGUCAUUUCAACCCUCAAGCACUGCUUGGUGUUGGGCCCUGCCCGUUGCGGCCGGCCCUAAAACCAGUGGCGGCGCCGUCUGGCUCUAAGCGUAGUACAUCCCUCGCUCUAGGGUCCCGCGGUGGCUUGCCAGAACCCCUAAUUCUUAUGGUUGACCUCGGAUCAGGUAGGGAUACCCGCUGAACUUAA